CCGGAAAUCGCCAACAGCGGUGGUCGGCGACCAAUCCCUCCCAUUGUUACACCAUAGACUCCCCUCGACCUCCCCGUUCCAAAUCCACACUCCAUUAACUUCGAAUCUUCACCGUUUGUCUCGAAUAUUAGAUCGAAAGAUCAGACCCUAAUUCACCCAAUCACUACCAAAAUCACACCAGUCAACCACCUGACCACCCUCGUCCCAAAUCGCACCCCGGUUUUGUUCGAAUCUCGCUAGAACUGUUCGAAUCUUAAAUCGAAUGAACGAGCCCUAGAAAAUCCAAUUUCCAGGCUUUGUGCAAAUUAUGAGCUUGAGGUCUCAACCGACCUUAGUCGAGUGUUCUCAGUCGAGAACACUAGAUUAAGGUCCGUUUGGGCCUCAAAAGUUCGAGUCAAAGCUUCGAUGAGAACGGAGUUUGUUUGCUUUCUGAUUCCUUAGGUAUUCCUUCUAUUUUCCUUUUUAUAUAUCAUUUUGUUAUUGUUGUUUAUCUCUUUAGUUUUUGUUGUAACUCAUAUUUUGUUCAUUACUUUUCUUCUUUGUCCAUCAGACCUUUUAUUUGGUCCAGUUUCACCAUUGUUUAUGUUGUUGUCAAUUAUCAUAUGUUCUAAUUGCGGAAUCGAUUCAAAUAGCUUAAUCGAUUAGUUAGUUUUCUUGUAGCUCUUUGUUUUUGUUCCAGGCUACUCGAAUCCCCUGUACCCCUCCCAAUUUUGUUCAAGACUAUAUGGUCCAAUUCACUUGCAUGUUUGGUUUACUCUAGAUUUCUUUUCCUUCUUUGAGUGAUUUGAACUAGUCAGUGCUUAGUAUGUCUUGUGUAAAAAAAAGUGGUUGUUCCCGUAAUUUCUCGCUAUUACUAUUAGUUCAAGGGGUUUCAUCUUUGUUAUCUACUUCCAUAUGAAUUCUAGUUGGUUGUCAUUUAGUGUAUUUGCAUUGUUCGUUUAGGUUCAAUAUAGAAUUGUAUUAGUUUAUUCCCUGAACCAUUGAUUCCUUCAUCUUGGUUGCAAUAUUGUUUGCCCUGAUUUGAGUUCAAUUGUUAUUUGAGUUUAGUGAUUUUGAAUCAGAUUGUGGUUAUGUUUAAAUCUGGAGUCUGAUAAGUUAGACUUGAGUUUAAGUCCAGUUUUGUUGUUCCUGAUUCAUUAGGAAUUGACUCAGAUUCUCUAAUUUAGAUAAAUUUGGUUAUAGCUGGGGGUACAGGGUUUGAGGUAGUAGUUCAGGACUUUAGGAGGGUAAUUUGGGGAUUGAAACUUGGAGAGUUGAUUUAAUUGAGUGGUCUGUCCAGUAGGAUACUAAGGUGCCAUUUAAAAUAAUGCAUUUGUUUACGAGUAGUGGGGAAGACAUAAUGAUAUAAAGCAAGGAAAAAGGGAUCGGAAAGUAAAAAAGUUGAGGGGUAAUAAUGAAAAGCUAAAAGAUACACAUAGUAGAGGAAUAUAGAAGCUGGAAAGUAAAAAGAAGUAUGGGAUAAUGAUAAAAGGUUUUCUUUACAACUGUUAAAAGAAACACAUAGUAGAGGAAUAUAGAAGCUGGAAAGUAAAAAGAAGUAUGGGGUAAUGAUAAAAGGUUUCUUUACAACUGUUAAAAGAAACACAUAGUCUCCUCCUCAUUUGAUACUCAAGAAGAAGUGUAUCUUGAAAUUAAAAGGAUUUCAGAAUCUACAAAUGACUCACUAACCAAGCUUCUGAAGUGUGAUUAUGGAGAGUUCCUAAAAAGGGUGAUUAUGGAGAGUUUCCUAAAAAUUCUGAAAUGGGGGCUGCUACUAAGAUACCAGCUCAUUUCAAGAGCUUCUAUGACAGUAUUAAACUCGAACAAGUUCUCAAAAUCAACAAAAAAACUUUGUGGAAGAAAUUCAAGCCAUGUAGACUAAGGAUAUGACUGACUUUUUGAACUUUUUCUUGCAAAAACGGUUCAUGGAAAUGUCACAUCAUCUAAAGGAGUUACCUUAUAUACUGUGGUGUUAUUUUUCAAAGGUGAUUUUUAAUGUAUUGGAGAGGCACUAUGCAACUUGCCCUCAAAUUCCAAGCCCUAAAGAAGCCAUGAGACAUUUAGUUGAAUCAGAGAAAAGAUGCAUUGGCUGAUUGGCUACAAAACUCUUUGGAGAUGGAAAGAUUGAUUUUCAAAACAAUCAAUCCAAAAUAUGAGGUAUUGGUUUUUCAAUCAUCUACCCUGGAGAAGAAGCUGAUGGAGGAGCUCUCGAAAGGUGCCCACACGAUGAUGCUCAACAUAUAAGCUUGGAGCUGGUCAACAUUGAUCAUUUAUCAAAUAAUAACAGUGAUAAUGUUCAGAAAGCAUUCCAAGUUUACAUAAAAGUUGGUAUAUAUUGGGAUAUUAUUUCCUUGAGAUUGCCUGAGUUUAUUAUGGUCUAUAUGACAUCAGCUAUCGAGAGGUUGGUUGAUAAUAUUAAAGGGGAUAUAUUUAUUCAUAUGUGUCGUAGUCUAAUGGGGGCAUGAUAAAUAUUUCAUUUUGCCUGUUUUAUCUCCUAAUGAGUGAUGCUUGAAGAGCGUCUAAAAGCCCAUAAGAAGCAGUUGGUGGACAUCAUUGAAGUUUAAUUUAGUUUUGAAUGUGAUCAAGUAUUAAGUGAUGCAUGAAAGGUAUUUUUUUGUGGUUUAUGUUCUUUUAGGUUAUUUUUUUAAUUUAAAUUUUUGGGUUUGACGUAAUUAUGCUGCUACAAAAAGACAGUUGGGAAGUAGUAGCUCGAUUGUUAAUUUUUUCAUGUUUAGGUGUGUCAUCAUCACUUGGUUUUUAAAUAUUUUAUGAGUUUAGAUAAUCUCUUAGUUUUAAUAUACUUUAUUUUAUGUCUGAACCCACCUUUAAUUUUUCUUCAUCCUUGUUAACCAUUGGCUCUGAUACCACUAGUUGGGAUCGAAAUAAUAUGGAGCAUGCUAGAGCUAACAAAGAGAAUUUUGAUGAUACUAAAAAAUAUAAAACAUUAAUAUAGUUGGAAAACUGUCCUACAUAUGAUAAAAUUAAUUAAAAAGAAAAAAACUAUCUAAAGAAAAAUUUCUACCUAACAAUACUCUUUGGUGUUUACACUGUGAAAGUUGUAUUUCUUGCCACAACUAAUAGAGUUCUUUCACAUUUCUUGUCGACUUUCUUAGAUAUAUUCAUUGACUCAACUUUUUUAGGCAAUGAAUCAGUACUGACUGAUAAUACAUUCAAGAUAAUCUUGUCCUCGGGGUCAAAUAAUUCAAAAUCAUCUGCUAUAUUCGCUCAUAUAUCUCUUUAUUAGCUUCGUCUAAGGUAGGAAUCUCUGCGAAAUCCACAAUUGUAAGAUCAGAAAAACCGUUCUUCUUCAGGAUUAGAGUCAAAUGGUUGUAAGAUACUCCAUUUGUUAUGCCAACAAUUGUGUUUGUCACCCGACUUAUUUCUAAGGCUAUAUACCACUAAUCAUCAUCGGUAGUACUUCUCAGUGUCCUUGUUUUCUCAUCAAACUCGAGGGAAACCUCAAGUUUACGACUAUGAUAAUUUUGAAGCUUAAUAAGGAUAGGAACCCGAGUGCAGAAGUGUCCUUCUAAUAGAAUUUUGAUUCCGAUAAGGGAUGCAAUAAGACAAGAUUUACCUAAACAUGUGUAACCAGCUAGAACACCUGUAGGCACUGCAGGGGGUUGGAUACAUUGCUGCAUCACGCUUAAGCUUCGUUGGAGCUUAUUAAUGAAAUGAAAGAGCGGGGGCAGGAUAGUUUCAUCGGUUAUAUGAUAAGACAUUAGGUGGCGCAUAAUCUUCUUCUGGCCGUGAAUUGCUUUUCUUUUCACUAAUGUCCAUUGCUUGUUCUUUGUUCCAAGAAAAGAUGGAAUGUCACGUUUAGGAUUUAAACCCGUGAAUUAGAGCAAGUUUUGAAUAUUCUUUGCCACUUUAUUAGAUUUUUUUUCUUAUAUUAAAGGGAAUCAACAUUUUAUCCAGUUAAUGAGAUAAAGUAUGGCCCAUUUCCACUAUAUAAACUACUUGUUCUCUUUAUAUUCAUUGUGCUUAAAACAACUUUCUUCUCCAUUUUCUUUCUAGUGACAAAUACUAUAGUUUAUUCAAAACUCCAAUGGCCAGUAGUGUUAAAGUACUUAACGAUGAAAUUAUAGAAAAAAUUGUUGCAAUUGAAGAGUCUCCACCUUAUUUGGAUACUCACGAAGAAGUAUAUCUUGAAAUCAAAUGGAUUUCGGAAUACACAAAUGACUCACUAACCAAACUUUUUAAGGGUGAUUAUAGAGAGUUUCCUAAAAAGGGUGAUUAAGGAGAGUUUCCUAAAAAUUCUCAAAUGGAGGUUGCUGCUAGGAUACCAACUCAUUUCAAGAGCUUCUUUGAUAGCAUUCAGCUCAAAAAAGUUCGUCAAAACCAACAAAAAUUUUUGGUGGAAGAAAUUCAAGCCAUGCAGACUAAAGAUAAGAAUGACUUCUUGAACUUUUUCUUGCAAAAAAGGAUCACGGGAAUAUCAUAUCAUCUAAUGGAGUUACCCUGUCUACUGUGGAUUUAUAUUUCAAAGAUAAUUUUUAAUGUAUUGGAGAGGCACUGUGCAACUUGCCCUCAAAUUAUAUGCCUUAAAGAAGCCAUGAGACAUUUAGUUGAAUCAGCGAAAGACGCAUUGGCUGAUUGGCCACAAAAAUAUUUGGAGAUGGAAAGAUUGAUUUUCAAAACCAUCAAUCAAAAAUAUGAGGUAUUAGUUUCUCAAUCAUCAACCCUGGAGAAGAAGCUGAUGGAUGAGCUCUCGAAAAAUGCUCACACGAUGAUGCUUAACAUAUAAUACUUAAGUUGGUCAACACUGAUCAUUUAUCAAAUUAUAACAGUGAUAUUAUUCAGAAAUCAUUCCAUGUUUACAUAAAAGUUGGUAUUUAUUAGGAUAUUAUUUCAUUGAGAUAUGCUGAUUUAUGAUGGCCUAUAUGACAUCAGCUAUCCAGAAGUUGGUUGAUAAGAUUUAAGGGGAUGUAUUUAUUAAUAUGUGGCGUAGUCUAAUGGGGCAUGAUAAGCAUUUCAUUCUGCCUGUUCUAUCUCCAAAACGAGUGAUGCUUGAAGAGCGUCUAGAAGCCCUUAAAAAGCAGUUGGUAGCCACGAUAGAAAUUUAAUUUAUUUUUGAACGUGACCAAGUAUUAAGUGAUGCAUGAAAGGUGUUUCUUUUGUGGUUUAUAUUGUUUUAGUUUAUUUUUUUAAUUUAAAUUUUCGGGUUUAACGUAAUUAUUCUGCUACAAAAAUUCUGUUGGGAUUCAGUAGCUUGAUUGUUAAUCUUUUCAUGUUUAGGUGUGUCAUCAUCUCUUGGUUUUUAAAUAUUUUAUGAGUUUAGAUAAUCUCUUUGUUUUAAUAUAUUUUAUUUUAUGUCUGAACUCACCUUGAAUUUUUCUUCAACCUUGCUAGCCAUUGGCUCUAAUAUCACUUGUUGGGAUCGAAAUAAUAUGGUGCAUGCGAGAGCUAACAAAGAGAAUUUUGAUGAUACUAAAAAAACAUAAAACUUUAAUAUGGUUGGUCAAUUGACCUACAUAUAAUAAAAUUAAUUAUAAAGAAUUAUCUAAAGAAACAUUUCUCCCUAAUCAAAGCUCUUUGGUGUCUACAUUGUGAAAGUUGUAUUUCUUGCCGCAACUACUAGAGUUCUUUCACAUUUCUUGUCGACUUUCUUAGAUAUAUUCAUUGACUCAAAUUUUUUAGGUAAUGAAUCAGUACUGGUUGAUAAUACAUUCAAGAUAAUCCUGUCCUCGGGGUCAAAUAAUUCAAAAAUAUCAGGUGUAUUCGCUCAUAUAUCUCUUUAUUAGCUUCGUCUGAGAUAGGAAUCUCUGGCAAAUCCAUAAUAGUAAGAUCAGAAAAACUAUUCUUCUUUAGGAUUCGAGUCAAAGGGUUAUUAGAUAUUCCAUUUGAUAUGCCAACAAUUGUGUUUGUCACCCGACUUAUUUCUAAGGCUACACACCACUCAUCGUCAUCGGUAUUACUUCUCAUUGUCCUUGUUUUACUCAUAAAACUCGAGGGAAACCUCAAGUUUACGACUAUGAUGAUUUUGAAGCUUAAUAAGGACAGGAACUCGAGUGCAAAAGUGCCCUUUUAACGCAAUUUUGAUUCCGAUAAGGUAUGCAAUAACGCUAGAUGUACCUAAAUAUACCAACUAGAACAAUUGUAGGCACUACAGGGGGUUGGAUACAUUGUUGCAUAGCGUUUAAGCGUCGUUGCAGUUUAUUAACGAAAUCAAAGAGCGUGGGUCGGAUUGUUUCAUCAUUAUAUGAAGAGACAAUAGAUGGUACAUAAUCUUCUUCUGGUUGCGAAUUGAUUUUCUUUCAUUAAUGUCCAUUGUUUGUUCUUUGUUCCAAGAAAAGAUAGAAUGUCACGUUUAGGAUUUAAACACGUGAAUUAAAGCAAGUUUUGAAUAUUCUUUGCCACUUUAUUAAAUUUUUUUCUUAUAUUAAAGGGAAUCAACAUUUUAUCCAGUUAAUGAUAUAAAGUAUGGCCCGUUUUCACUAUAUAAACAACUUGUUCUCUUCAUAUUCAUUGUGCUUAAAACAACUUUCUUCUCCAUUUUCUUUCUAGUGACAGAUACUAUAGUUUAUUCAAAACUCCAAUGGGCAGUAGUGUUAAAGUACUUAAAGAUGAAUUAUAGAAACAAUUGCUGCAAUUGAAAAGUCUCCUCCUCAUUCUGAUACUCAGGAAGAAGUGUAUCUUGAAAUUAAAAGGAUUUCAGAAUCUACAAAUGACUCACUAACCAAGCUUCUUUAGGGUGAUAUGGAGAGUUUCCUAAAAAUUCUGAAAUGGGGGCUGCUACUAAGAUACCAGCUCAUUUCAAGAGCUUCUACGACAGUAUUAAACUCAAACAAGUUCGUCAAAAUCAACAGAAAAAUUUUGUGGAAGAAAUUCAAGCCAUAUAGAAUAAGGAUAUGACUGACUUUUUGAACUUUUUCUUGCAAAAAAGGUUCAUGGAAAUGUCACAUCAUCUAAAGGAGUUGCCCUGUCUACAGUGGAGUUAUUUUUCAAAGAUUAUUUUCAAUGUAUUGGAGAGGCAUUGUGCAACUUUCCCUCAAAUUCCAAGCCCUAAAGAAGACAUGCGACAUUUAGUUGAAUCAGAGAAAGAUGCAUUGGCUGAUUGGCUACAAAAAUAAUAGGAGAUGGAAAGAUUGAUUUGCAAAACAAUCAAUCCAAAAUAUGAGGUAUUGGUUUUUCAAUCAUCUACCCUGGAGAAGAAGCUGAUGGAGGAGCUCUCAAAAGGUGCCAACACGAUGAUGCUUAACAUAUAAGCUUGGAGUUGGUCAACAUUGAUCAUUUAUCAAAUUAUAACAGUGAUAAUGUUCAGAAAGCAUUCCAAGUUUACAUAAAAGUUGAUAUUUAUUGGGAUAUUAUUUCAUUGAGAUUGCCUGAUUAUAUGCUGAUCUAUAUGACAUCAGCUAUCAGUAGGUUGGUUGAUAAUAUUUAA
rnacentral:lncRNA from 1 species